rnacentral:tRNA from 1 species
GGUCCCAUCGUCUAGUGGCCUAGGACGUCGCCCUCUCAAGGCGAAAACACGGGUUCGACUCCCGUUGGGACCGCCA